UCAGGAUGAACGCUAGCGACAGGCCUAACACAUGCAAGUCGAGGGGCAGCACGGUGUAGCAAUACACGGGUGGCGACCGGCGCACGGGUGAGUAACGCGUAUGCAACCUGCCUACUACAAGGGGAUAACCCGUUGAAAGACGGACUAAUACCCUAUAACACAGGGUAUCCGCAUGGAUAUAUUUGUUAAAGAUUUAUCGGUAGUAGAUGGGCAUGCGUUCCAUUAGCUUGUUGGUGAGGUAACGGCUCACCAAGGCAACGAUGGAUAGGGGAACUGAGAGGUUGAUCCCCCACACUGGAACUGAGACACGGUCCAGACUCCUACGGGAGGCAGCAGUGAGGAAUAUUGGUCAAUGGACGAGAGUCUGAACCAGCCAAGUCGCGUGAAGGAAGACGGCCCUACGGGUUGUAAACUUCUUUUGUAAGGGAAUAAAUAGUCUUACGCGCUAAGACGUUGCAGGUACCUUACGAAUAAGGAUCGGCUAACUCCGUGCCAGCAGCCGCGGUAAUACGGAGGAUCCGAGCGUUAUCCGGAUUUAUUGGGUUUAAAGGGUGCGCAGGCGGCAUGUUAAGUCGGCGGUGAAAUUUUGCAGCUCAACUGUAAAAGAGCCUUCGAAACUGGCAAGCUUGAGUGUGGAUGAAGUAGGCGGAAUUUGUGGUGUAGCGGUGAAAUGCAUAGAUAUCACAAAGAACACCGAUUGCGCAGGCAGCUUACUAAACCAUAACUGACGCUCAUGCACGAAGGCGUGGGGAUCAAACAGGAUUAGAUACCCUGGUAGUCCACGCAGUAAACGAUGAUUACUGGCUGUUUGCGAUACAAUGUAAGCGGCUGAGCGAAAGCGUUAAGUAAUCCACCUGGGGAGUACGUUCGCAAGAAUGA
rnacentral:rRNA from 1 species